rnacentral:tRNA from 1 species
GCAUAGCGCAGUGGAUUAGCGUGUCUGACUUCGGAUCGGAAGGUCGUGGGUUCGACUCCCGAUGC